rnacentral:rRNA from 1 species
UACGAAGGGUGCAAGCGUUGUUCGGAAUUAUUGGGCGUAAAGCGCACGUAGGCGGCUUUGUAAGUCUCACUGUGAAAGUCCGGGGCUCAACCCCGGGAUGCCCAGGGGGAUACUGCGAGGCUGGAGACAAGCAGAGGUUGGUAGAAUUCCGGGUGUAGCGGUGGAAUGCGUAGAGAUCCGGAGGAAUACCAGAGGCGAAGGCGGCCAACUGGGCUUGUUCUGACGCUGAGGUGCGAAAGCGUGGGGAGCGAACAGG